UACGAAGGGGGCUAGCGUUGCUCGGAAUCACUGGGCGUAAAGGGCGCGUAGGCGGGUCUUUAAGUCAGGGGUGAAAACCUGGAGCUCAACUCCAGAACUGCCUUUGAUACUGAAGAUCUUGAGUUCGGGAGGGGUGAGUGGAACUGCGAGUGUAGAGGUGAAAUUCGUAGAUAUUCGCAAGAACACCAGUGGCGAAGGCGGCUCACUGGCCCGAUACUGACGCUGAGGCACGAAAGCGUGGGGAGCAAACAGG
rnacentral:rRNA from 1 species